ensembl:lincRNA
CUGGAAUUUUUUUUUUUUUUUUUUUGAGAGGGAGUCUUGUUAUGUAGUUCAGGCUAGCUUUGAACUCAUGAUAUAACCCAUGCUGGCCUCAGACUUGCGGAGAUCCUCCUGCCUCACCCUUCCAAGUGCUGGGAUUACAGUCGAGCGCCACCAUGCCCAGCUAAUCUGCUGGAAUUUGUUUUUUUUUUUCAGCAUUAAUCUGCUGGAAUUUGGAGGAAGGAUUUUGCUCCCUGUUUGAAAAGAACCAUUGCCACUUGCCCUACUCCUAUCUACUCUGAAGUGAUGUGAGCUGUGGAAUAGGACAUCAAGGCCAAGGAUGACAACUGACACUGCAAGAGCAACGGAUAACGGAAACAGGAGCACCCCUUGGACUUCAAUGGCAGGAAGGGAGAGACUGACUCAGCUCUUUGUUCGGGACUGUGCUGGCAUUGUGGCUGUUUCCAGGUACCGGUGUGGUGUCACUGAGCGAGGAGGAGGGAGGCUGUGGGGAGCAGCACUUCCCCACACAGGUGUCACUCACGGGAAUAGCCUCACGAGUGCAGUAAGUAGGAUGUGGAGAGGUAGGAUACUUCUUACCUGUUUCAAAUCGAAUUUAUUCCAUUGUAAUUUGAUGCAAUGUAAUCUUUAAUAACUACAUUUAACAAGCAUCUUGCAAAUUUCCUGAAAACUACCGAGGGGACUCACAAACUGGUUCGAGCCAGCUCCGGCACAGCACUGCCAGAGUCUAGCAGCAUCACGCUUCUCUUUUAAUAGGCCUGAGAUAGUGGCCAGGAUGCUCAGACAAGAACGCGAUUAUCCACGCAGGAGCUUUGUGCGCAGCUGGUAAUCCGGAUGUCGGUACUUUUUCCUCUGUUUGACAAUUUCUUAGCUUUAUCGCUCAGACCGAACAAAAAGCCAAGCAAAAAAUAGUUGAGGGUGGAGAACAACGAGGGCUGCAAGUAUGGGCUGCGAAUCCUGACCGCUGCCCAUGGUCAGGGUGGGGCCCUGGGGCCGCUCCAGCCCGAAACUGUACUGGGCCCUCGGGUGUAAACAAGCCCUCGAGUGGGGGCUGUCUCCUCGGCCACACCCACAACGGAAGCCCCGGAGAAAAGGCUGUGGUCAGAGGACUGCUGCGUUCCAGCAGGGCCAGCCGCGGGGGACUGGAGAGCCCAGGAGGAAGGGAACGGUAAAUGCAGCCUACCGAGGGCACGAAGUCCUGCGCCGCAGCUGUCUUCACCUUUUGUGAUGGUGCGGCAGGGACCUUCGGGGACGCCGGAAAGGGCCAGCACAGCUGUGCAAGCAGGGGGCCACUGGCGAGCCAGCUGUGUUGUAUUACAGUCUGCGCUACUCCUGUCACUGCCCGGGGAGUGUCCCACAUAGGGACGAGCUCAGACAGGCGGUCCUGCUGAUUUGCAUCAGGGAUCCUCUGAAACUGCAGCUUGGGAUUAGGUCAUUGUUCCCAACAAAGAGGAGACCCCAGAAGGUUUGGUCGUGGUGAAGAAAUCAGGACAAACUGUGGCCUGGCAGGGAAGAGAUGAGGGAAGGAGACAGCCCCCUUGUCAAGCCCCUCCGGAGAAGGCCGAGCCGGCGAGGCCGUGGGAGUGGCUCCCCACAGCGCCUGCCCGCCGAGGAAGGCUCGCCGCAGAGCGCCAGCCCCUUCCGCAGAGUCCAUCCUCCGGGAACUGGCGCUGCAAAAUGGAACUUUUAAAAUGAGGGUCUUUUCUCUUUGGAGUCAAGCAGCUUCUAAACUUUCUCAAGCCGGGGGCAUAAAUGCCCCCCCCCCCGCACCCCCUUGUCUAUCAAGAGGAAGGGACGGGACUUGCAGGUCCCGGCACCGGGAGGUCAAGCCCAGUUGCAUUCCUUUAAGCAGUGGAGGGAGAGGUCCGGAUCCCGGAAGGGGUGGAAUUAGCCUCGAAAUGUCUGCUGUUCCAAAAGACCACCAGGCACCUGUACACGCUGAGAUACCGACUGGAGGCAGAUGGGCCCUGCCAUCUCCUUGGAGCUAGCUUUGAAUAUGUAAAUCCUUUUUUCCUUUCUACCCAAAUGGAUGGCCUUUUUUUGAUUUGGUUGGUGGCAAGCACAGAAAUCCAGGCGUGUGAACCUUGGCGGCUGGUAACACUCUCUCGCUGGCCUGGGUCUGCCUGGGCCUUACCCGGAGGCAAACUCUAACACUGUGACAGGGGGUAGCUCCAAACCUGCAGAGACGGGAAGCAGCUUCCCUGGCUGUAGAUGCAGGUGUCUGCGGUGCUGCUGAAGGUGAUCUAACCCUACUGGCCAAGAGGGAGACAACCCAGGCUCCAGGCAGUCUGAGGUCCAGCCCGCCUCAGCUGUGUGGAGCACAGCUAGUUAACCUGCAGUCCCUUGCUAGGGUCGUCUAGUUGACAUAGCUGUAGGAGUGCAAGGAAAUAGGCAGGGAGCAGGGAUGGGGGAGUGACCUGGGAGAGUAGCUUUCAGUAGCUGGCUAAUAAACUGGAUCCAAUUUGUGAAUUAAACCAAC